rnacentral:lncRNA from 1 species
GAAGAUUUUGAUCCUAGGAAAAAGUUCAUCAGACUAGGUCUUCUAUCUCAGGAGAAAGAUCCAUCAGCCUAAGAUUUUGAUCCUAGGAGAAAAUUCAUCAAACUAGGUCCUUUUUUGUUAUCUUAGGAGAAAGAUUUAUCAGACUAAGUUUUGUUUUGUUAUCUUAGGAGAAAGAUUCAUCAAACUAAGAUUUUUAUACUAGGAGAAAGAUUCAUCAGACUAAGUUUUCUUAUCUUAGGAGAAAAGAUUCAUCAGACUAAGAUUUUGAUCUUAGAAGAAAGUUCAUCAAACUAGGUUUUCUAUCUUAGUAGAAAGAUUCAUCAGACUAAGAUUUUUAUUGGGAGGAAAAUCCAUCUGACUAGGACUUUUUAUCCUAGGAGGAAAAAUAUGGAGAUCAAUGGCAAGGUUUUGUGCACAAUGGCAAGGUUUUGUGCACAAUAGCAAGACAAAUAAAGGCGAAUAUUUGAGGAACUUCCCUUUGUCGGCUCUUCUCUUCUUUUCUUUUUCUUCUCUUUUUUUUUUGUUUUUUUUUCUUUUUUUUGAACCACUUUCCUUGAACUGCCUUGUUCCUGUUUCACACAAAGAAAAAUUUGUCAGUUUUGAAAAUGGUGGUCAGUUUGUAGCCUUGAGUCUUGGGCAACUUGGCUUCUUCUCAAUCAGCUUGAGUCGGUUUCAAGAAACUUUUGCUCUACAUAAACCCUAAUUAUUUCACACCCAGUACCAUUUAUAUUUGUGGCUCAAUCAGCCUUAUCCCAACUGGAGAUCUUUUCUUAGAUGACCUUUUCUGAUAUCUUGAGUGACUUCCUGCUUUUGAGCAAUUUGUCUGUCAGAGAGAAUCACAAGUUAUCUUUGCUUGCGCCAAGUAGGUUGACAAGAGUCUUUUGGGGGAGCUUUUGCAUGAAUCCUAAAGGCAUGUUACAAGUAGGAACUGAGUAUGCUGGCCAAAUUUACUUUGUGCAACUAAAAAGCUGGUAGCAGAUUUUGAAAUCUUUUUUUGCUUGUUUUGACAGGACUAACUUAGAGUGAAGGACACAAUAAUGCAAAGAAACAAGUAUUAACAAGAAGUGCCCCUGUUGGAAGGACGGAAGGAAGAGUUUUUUUUCAAUAACUAGCCUUAAUGAUCAUGACAUGCAUUUUGGACUUGAUAGUCAAUCUAUCAAACUAACCAAAUCUUUUCUUUUACCAUUCUUAUGACCUUUGAAGUCGGGCUUGUUCGUGAUGAUCCUUUGCAUCGGCUUCAUGACUCACUUUCGACAAGUGUUGGCCCAAGGUGUUUUCACGAACCAGUCUCUCUCAUUUAUUCAUCUCUGCUUACCGUCGUCUUACAGUGCCCAUGAGGGUUUUUAAUAGUAAGACUCUCUCAUUUUUCUUCUUUAUUUUUCUUUUUCUUUUGCUUUCUUGUGCGAGCAUCUUGACAGUGUUCUAUGUCGUGUGAAAACUAUUGUUCAUUGCAUGCGUCUCUUGGCAUUCUUGAAGGCUGAAUAGGAGGUCUUUAUUUGGAAGGUUUUUGGAUAGGGUUGGAAAGAAAUGACGUCAUGAAAUUUUAAAAUAGACUCAAAGUAAAGGGUUGUAGAUUUACAACUCUUGGAAUCGACUCUUUCAAAAGUGAAAUAAAAUCUUUUCCCCAGUUUCAGCUAUUGGGAUUUUUUUUUUUUGGAAUUCUUAUUUGGUUGGACCAAACCGUGAGGUUGCCUACGUAUCCUUUAUUAAGGAAUCAGGUCGAACGUAGUUCAAACAUCUGACCUAACUAUUUUUCAUCUUUGUUUCUGUUUCGUUUUUUUUCUUUUUCUAUUUUUUACUUUUCGUUUUCAAAACAAGUUGCCCCAAUUUCUAUUUUCUGGGCGCAUGGACCAUUGACAGUUCUUUUCUUCUUCAUCUUUUUUCACUUGAAAUUUCUAUGAAUUGCCCCAGUUUGUACUCUUGAGACAUUGAAUUUUUUUAUUUUUCUUUUUUUUUCAUUUUUUGUUUUUUUAAUCUUCAUUCUAUACUUGAUUCCAAAAGAGGGUGGUCAAAGAAAAUAACACAAGUUCAAAAGGGGUAACAAAGGGUAUAAAGUGUUUGGAUAGCAAAAAGGGCCUCCCAGCCUCGAGAACGUCAAUUAUAGUAUCUUUUCGCGAUCACAUCAUUGAUGAACAUGCUUGUCUUCUUGGGUCUUUUUUAGUAUAAAGCUGUAUGAGCAAUACUUUCCUCGCUGUGAAUGACCCUUGUCAAUUUGGGUGACUUUCCUUGGAUUUUGUCUUGAUUUAGAAGAUGUAUUUUGCAAUUUUCAUGUUGUCUGGAAUACACCUUCUAUUGAAAACACUUUCUAUCUCUUAGUGCUAAACAAACUUCAACCCAUCCCAUUAUCCUUAAGCCCGAUCUUCUCAAAUGACUCAAAAGGUAGAGAUCCUUAACUUCCAUGAGCAUGACUAUUUUGGUUCCAUAUAAAAUUGGCUCAUGCUUAUUGUUUAAAUGUUUUAUGUCUCUAUUCAUCUUCGAAAAUGUCUCUUUCUCACUUAUCCAAUUCAAGACUAAAUCAGUUUUCUAAGAUCUGGCCAAAAUUCCGCAUGCAUGUCAUGUCAUUAGAACUAGCAUGAAAAGAACUAUGCACAAAAUGGCUAACUACUUUUGUUUAAUUGAAUAAAGGAUAGAAAGGUCCAAUAGCACAAAAAGAAGAAGAAAAGAUGACAAAAUAAGCUACCAUGACUGAAGGAGGAGUGACUUUCUAGUUACUAAGCGAUAUCUUAGCCACACAUUCGCACAUCAGCACUACUAUGGCAUUUGACCAUUUUGAUUUCUUUGGAUUCAACACUCAAAUUUUGACAAUCAUCCCGAGCAGCCCAUGUCUUAUUGCUCAAAUCUGGUAAAGUCAACCUCACAUUUGCCUCCAUUAAAUUUUUUGCCGCCAAAUUGCCUACUUGCCCUCUCGUGAUCUUGGAUCAACAACAAUGGUGCUUGUUCCAUUGGUUGAGAAGAUGUUUUUAUUUUUGAAAGAUCUUGGAUUGUUUUUGUGACUCGCCAUUGCAAACCAACUACCUUUGACUAGCUUUUAUUUCAAAACAACAGGCAUGUUAGAAUAAACACUCUCUUUCUUUUCUCUUUUUUUUUGUUUUUAACCAUUCGAUCGAACUUGAUGUGGGUUGCCUACGUAUCAUGACGCCGCAUUAAUCAGAUCUUUGCAUAGUUCGAGAAGAUCAGGAAUAAAGUAAAUAAACUAACUUUUUUUGGAUUUUGAAUUUUAUUUUACUUUUUCGAAAGAAAGACUUAUAAAGAAGAAAGAGAAUAGUUUUGGAUUUUGAUUUUUCUUCAGAAUGUUUGCAAAGAAAGACUUCUAAAGAAGAAAGAUUUUUUUUUUUGAAUUUAUGAAAGAAAUACUUCUAAAAAAAGAAAAUAUUUUUGAAUCUUGAAUUUUCUUUUCAAUUUUUGAAGAACAAAAAAAAAAUUGGAUUUUGAGAAGAAACUAAAAGAAAAUAUUUUUCUAUAUUUUAUUUUUUUAAAAAAAAUUGGGGUCUAAAAGAAAGAAUUUCUAAGGAAGCAAGUAAUGGAAAAUAUUUUUGGAUUUUUUUUUAAAAGAAAUUGUGGUCCCAAAGAAUGACUUUUCUAAAGUAAAGGAAAAUAUUUUUGAAGUUUUUUUUAAAAUGUGGGCCGGAACCGAUGAGGUUUGCCUACGUAUCUCAAAUUCGGUAAGAAACAGACCCGCGUAGUUCGGCCGUUUUGACAUAAUUGAAAAAACAUGAUGUUGACUCACUUUCAUUUUUUUGAAAUACAUUUUGUGUUUCUCUUUUUUUCAAAAUUUUGGCAGAAUUUCGAGGCAUUUUAAAUGUGAUGACCCAAAAGAUCAUCACUUGUGUUGCAAUAAAAUUCUACAUUCCGAGGACUUAAAAAACCUCCCUAAGCACCACCUCGAUUUGCGUGCAUCGUCCGGACGCAUAGCCUGAAAGCUUAAAUGUGAAAAUCUGUGAAAAAUGAUAAGUUUUGACGGUAAAAUGAAUAAAUUUGACUUCAAUCAAUAUUUUGGGUAAACGGACCCGGACCCGUGAUUUGACGGUCCUGGAGGGUCCGUAGGAAAAUAUGGGACUUGAGCGUAUGCCUGGAAUCGGAUUCCGAGGUCCCAAUCCCGAGAAACGAAUUUUUUAAAGAAAAUUAUUUUCUAAAAUUGUUUAAAGAAAUUUGAAAUGAAAUUUGUUUAGAACAUGGUGGUAUCGGGCCCUUAUUUUGGUUCAGGCAUCCGGUACUGGUCUUAUAUAUGAUUUAAGACAUUUCUGUGAAAUUUGGUGAAAAACGGAUGUCAUAUGACUGUAUUCGGACUUAAAUCGCAAAAUUUAUGUUUAACGAAGUUUUGAGAAAAUUUCAUUGAUCUCGAGAUUUAAUGUGAUGUUCAUGAUGUUAUUUUGAUUAUUUGAUUACACGAAUAAGUCCGUAGGAUGUUUUUGAGGUUUUGUGUGCGCUUGGUAUGGAGUUCCAAGGGCUCGGGUGAGUUUUGGGUAGGUUUCGGGGGGUCUAAGGCUUAAAAACUGAGCUUUUGCAGGCUCAGAGUGGUAGAGGACCUCUGAACAGGCAUGCGGUCUGCACGAUAUGGACUGUUGCCACGGAGAAGCCUGUGCGGCCGCACUAGUUUUGGUGCGGUCCGCGAUGAAGAACAAUUUACUGGUCCAACUUCGGAAGUCUAUAUCUUUUUAUCUACAGAGAAUUGUGAGAUAUUUCAAAAACAAAAGUUGUAGCUCUUCGUGUCUAGUUUCCAGAAAUGCAAAGAAUUCACAAUUUGGACAUCUUUAGAGAAAGUUAUGGCCGAAAUACGUAGACCUGUCACUGCAGAACACAGGAAGCCUGUGUGGCCGCAGUUGAUUUUGUGCGGUCCGCACACGACAUCUGAGGGCAGUAUAUUUAGACGGGAUUUUCAGUUAUUUUUCAUUUUUUAAGACCCCAAAAACAUAAGAGGCGAUUUUUCAAACAACCUUUCUUCUCCAAAGCAAUUGUAAGAAGUUUUUAACUAGUUUUCUUCAAUCAUUAACAUCUUUUAACAUGAUUUCAACUUCAAAUCAAUGAUUUUCAUUGGGGAAAUUAGGUGUUUUGGUAGAACCUAGGUUUUUCAAAAAUUGGGUAUUUCGACCUCGAUUUGAGGUCCGAUUUCAAAACAAAUACAUAUUUGAGCUCGUGGGGGAAUGGGUAAUCGGGUUUGGUUUAAACCUCGAUUUUGACCACGUGGGCCUGAGGGUGAUUUUGACUUUUUGGGGUAAAACUUUAGAAAACUCAUUUUCAUGCAUUCAAAUUGAUUCAUUUAAUGUUUAUUGAUGUAAUUAAGUAACUUGUAGCUAGAUACGAGCGAAUUGACGGAGGAAUCAAGGGGUAAAGCUAUAAUUGAAACUUGAGUUGUGUUCGAGGCAUCGAGGUAAGUGUUUAGUCUAACCUUAGCUUGAGGGAUUAGGAGUUAUGUCAUAUUUGCUAAUUGCUUCUUGUUGAGUACGACGUAUAGGCAUGGUGACGAGUAUCUAUACGUUGGUGACAAGCAUGACCGUGGGUCUUAUUUUGUGAUUUUCAUGACUUCGUUGUAUUAUUCAUGCCAUGGUGAAGAUUUCUAUUUGUUGUGUAAAGUUGUGGAAAGAAUUGUGACCUAUGAACAUUGAGGAGCGUUGGCUCCAGUAGUAUAACGAAUUGUGAAAUUAUAAGUGAUAAUUGAAACUCUAGAGUAUUGGUUCGAGUUGUGAAGUGAAUUGUGAAGUAAAAGUGAGAAGGAGAAGAGAUCAUUAUGUUUCCCCCUUACUGGGCUAUUUUUGAGUUGUGGUUCCCUUGCAUUGUGUUCUUAAUUGAUAUUACGAAUGCAUAGGUUGAUUCUUUGGGUUAGGUGUUGUAACAAGUUUAGUUAUAGCUGAGGUAGUUAGGUGUCGUAACAAGUUUGGUUAUAGCUGAGGUAGUUAGAUGUUGUAACACGUUUGGCUAUAGCAGAGGUAGUUAGAUGUUGUAACAAGUUUGGCUAUAGCAGAGGUAGUUAGAUGUUGUAACAAGUUUGGCUAUAGCUGAGGUAGUUAGAUGUUGUAACAAGUUUGGUUAUAGCUAAGGUAGUUAGAUGUUGUAACAAGUUCGGUUAUAGUUGUUUCUCCCUUGCCGGGAUAUUGUGAGAUAUCAUUGUUUUCUUACCGGGAUGUUUGUUGAUAUUAUUGUUCCCUUGCCGGAAUUCCUUGUGAUUAUUGUUGGCUUGUAAUUGGGAGCGGGUGGUACGCCUACCACAAGAUACAAUGAAAUGUGAGCGGGUGGUACGCCUACCACAAGAUACAAUGAAAUGGGAGCGGGUGGUACGCCUACCACAAGAUACAAUGAAAUGGGAGCGGGUGGUACGCCUACCACAAGAUAUAAUGAAAUGGGAGUGGGUAGUACGCCUACCACAAGAUACAAUGAAAUGGGAGCGGGUUGCACGCCUGCCACGAGAUACAUGAAAUGGGAGCGGGUGGCAUGCCUGCCACAAGAUAUGAGAAAUGGGAUCGGGUUGCACGCCUGCAACAAGAUGUGAAAAGAAAGUGAAAUCUGCCUUUGUUUUUCUUUAAUCUUGUUAGUGGUUGGAUUCCUUUAUAUUCUAUUGAUAUUCUGUUUUUACUUGUUUUUCCCCGAAGUAUGUUCCCCCCUCCCUAGUUUUAAUUGUUUAUUUUCGUAUUUCUUUUCCGCUAUAUAUAUUUGAACUUCAUAGGUUUAUUUGGUAGUUUGGUCCUGGCCUCAUCACUACUUCGUUGAGGUUAGGCUAGGCACUUACCAGCACAUGGGGUCGGUUGUGCUGAUAAUACACUCUGCACUCUUUUGUGCAGACCCCAGUGUUGUGGACUUCGGACCGUGGUGAGAUUGUUGAUUCUUGAUCAUCAGGCGACCCGAGGUAGUCCUGCAGGCAUCCGCGGGCCUUGGCGUCCCCUUCUAUCUACUAUUCCUAUUUUUUUCAUGCAUUUCUAGAGACAGUGUUGUAUUUAUUUCUUUCAGAACCUUUAUUUGUAGUAUUCUUAGACCGUCUGUGAAACUGUGACACCAAUUCUGGGUGAUUAAGGUUUAAGCUGUUGUAAUAGAUAUAUGUUCAGAUAUUCUAUUGUUUUCUUCCACUUAUUCUGAAUUUCCGUUGUUUACCCGUUAUUGUUUUAUAUAAUGUUAAAGAGAAUAGAAAUUGGUAAAAAGGUAAAUUGUCUAAUAAUUGGCUUGCCUAGCUAACAUUAGUAGGCGCCAUCACAACUCCCGAGGGUGAAAAAUUUGGGUCGUGACAUUAAAUACUGGGUUUUCAGAACCGGGUGAAUUCUCUAUCCUACCUCACUCUUGGUUUUUCUGUUGUUUUUCUUUUGUUAGCCGGUCAAUAUAUAAACCGAAAAGAAUAAAUGUACACAUAGCAUGUAAGAUACAUCAGGAUGGUCUGGUCUUUUGGGUACACCUGUCCUAGACGGACCCAACCCCUGUGUUGAGUCCCCAAAGUUAAAUGCACGUGAUGCAAACAAACGCUCCUACUAGGGAUCCGGCAUGAGGUUAUGUUAUUCUAGGUUUAAACCUUGGGUUGUGUUCUUGAUCAGGCUUACCCGAGCGGACAACUCGAGCCGAAGAGUGGGCAAACGUACCGGGAGCACGAAAGUCUACCCGGCCUUGUUGCUGGCCCAGCCUCGUUCUAUUUGGUAUAACUUCUAACAGAAAAGUGGGCCACGAACGUGUGCACCAUUUUUUAGAAGACUCAGGUGGGAGGCGUAAGAAAACAAUUUAAUAUAAUUCAAAUAAUAUCAAAGCGGUAAAUAAGCGGCAAUAAGCACAUUAGGUCCACAAAUACAGUAAUAUCAACAAAUAAUAAAGCCAAGCAUAGAUCAUAUUAACAAGCUCGAAUUCUGAACCCUGAACCAAAGAUCAUGGGUUCUUUUCCCCAGCAGAGUCGCUAGAGCUGUCACACCUCCUUUUUACACCCAAGAGGGGAUAUAAGGGAGUUUUUCAAAUUAAAGUGAUAUUAUUCGAAAUUGGAUUAUUUAUUUAAUUUUCAGAGUCUCCACUUGGAAUAAUUUAUGGUGUCCCAAGUCACCGGUUUAUUUUAAAGACCAAAUCGAGGAAAUUUCGACUUUAUUUUAAAAGUCUGCGAACCAGAAAUUCUACGUAAGGAAUUUUGUUAACCCGGGAGAAGGUGUUAGGCAUUCCCGGGUUCCGUGGUUCUAGCACGGUCGCUUAGUGAUUUGUACUUAGCUUAAGUCGUUUAACUACUCAUUUUUAGGACUUAUGUGCAUUUAUCUUUUUACCGCUUUUAAUCACUUGAUUUGUUCGUAAUGAAAGAAUUGAGUUAUGCGUACGUAUACUCAUUUCCUUUGGCGCGUCAAAAAUCAUGUCAUGCGUACGUGUCCAUAAUUAAUCACGCUUUAUUAAUUAAUAAGAAAACUUGGUUGAAGUUGCGCGAACGCAUCCCUCGAUUUAUUUUUUAGAAUUAAAUUCGUAAUUCUGUUAUGCGAACGUAUAUAUAAUCACAAUAAUAGUCUAAGCCAUGCCUAAAGCAAACUAACAGUGUUCAUUAUUCUUCCUAAAAUUUGAGAUUAUUGUGAGGCUUAAGAGUUAUACAUCCUUCUGACUUAGCACCACUCAUGGCAUAUUAUUAUUCCUUGCCAAGAAAGAAAUAACUCCAAAUUUUCCAUCUACCCAAAUUAAAAGCAUUUAUUCGAGAACCAAGACUACGUACAUCACAAUCGAAAUAAAAACUAAUUAAAAUAAUUUAAUUUCAAACUAAGUCAUGCCACUCAAACAAUGUAGAAACAAAAAUCAACCAACACACGCACCAAGCUAUUGUAAGAACAAUGAAAUGAGAAUAAAAAUUGAGAAAUAGGCCUUUUAUUGAUGAACAAAACUAAAUAUUGCAAAUCAAUCAGGCUGAACAAGGCAACAAUCUUGAGAUUGAAACAUCAAAAUUAAGAAUCGGAACCUCAAAUCGACACAGGAGAGCUCGAAACCCAAAUCGACCUCAGAUAAACUAGAACCUCCAAACAUCUGACAAAGCAGACCAUCUCUUAAUAUUUUUGCUCUUUAAAAUGUUUACCACUGCCGAAAACUUUGUGAACAGGAUGUUCCCUACCAAAAAGCCGACGAACUUUAGACUUAAACCACGACGUUACGGGAGGAGAUGACGUUGUUUUCUUAUCGUCAUCAGAAUAAGAAAAAGACGAAGAAGAGUGAUGGUUAUUAUUACUGAGAUAAAGUGUUUCAGUGAUUUUAUUUUUUAUAGAUUCUCUGGCUCAUCCGAUUUCUCCACUUUACACUCCUCGUGUUCCUACAUUAUCAGUAAAGUAAAACCCAAAUCUUGAAAUUCAGUCAAGUUAUGUGUCUAUUGUAUCUGAGAGAAAAAGUUGUAAAGAUUCAUUUUUGUGUGUUUGUAUUUCUUUCACUUUUUAAUUUUUUUGGAACAAAACAAGGAAAAGAUCAUAGAAUAAAGAUGAAAAACCUUAGCAAUCCUGUCGUUUUUAGUGUAGCUCCUAAGUCUAGGUAUUGAAAACUUAGGGUUGGGUUCCUAUAAUUGGGUAUUUUAUAUGGAGGUGGAAAGGGAUGAUGGCAAUUGGAUUAGAAGGGAAUAGAUGGCUAGGAUUAAAUCUUGCACUUAAGUGGGCUAAUGGGUUGGGAAGAAUGGGCUAAGGGUAAUUGGGUUGGACCAUGUCUUUUGGAUUUGAACUUAGGCUAAAAAGACCAAAUAAUACAAUGUAUCUAUAAAAAUGUAAAAAUCACUCUAAAUUAAAAUAAACUAAUAUAAAACUAAACACUACGAGUGAAACUAAUUUUUUGUAUUUUCAAAUGUUAUAAUACUAUAAAUAUAAAUAUACUAAUUGACUUUAACCUAAAGAUGAAAAUAUUUAUUUUAUUUUUUUUNNNNNNNNNNNNNNNNNNNNNNNNNNNNNNNNNNNNNNNNNNNNNNNNNNNNNNNNNNNNNNNNNNNNNNNNNNNNNNNNNNNNNNNNNNNNNNNNNNNNNNNNNNNNNNNNNNNNNNNNNNNNNNNNNNNNNNNNNNNNNNNNNNNNNNNNNNNNNNNNNNNNNNNNNNNNNNNNNNNNNNNNNNGUAAUUUUUAUUUUUUGUGAUAAAAUAAAGUAAAAGAGUCAAAACUAUUUAAUAUAAUGAUAUUAAACCUAAACUAAAUAUUUUACGCUAAAACGUGUAAAAUCUUGGGGAGGGUCAAAAAUUACAUGUCUACAGACUAGGAAUAUUAUCCUUCCAACCAUGUUGUAGCCAAUUCUGAUAGUAUUCAUUCUAGGUCCAAUGACCUCAUCUCAUCCAACACAACCACUCUAAUGACAUGACACAUCAAUACAGUCCAAAGCCAUAACCUGUGCAACUCGUGCACCCAAUAGCAACAUCCCCAAAUGUACUCAAAUCAUGAAAAAAAUGACUCAAACGGGAGGACUAUCCCGCAAGCUUAACAAGUACUGCCACAAUGAAAUACUGUAAAUUCAUCACACCCCGUAGGACCAUCACACGAAUCUAACACAGGUUCAUACCUCAACAUAAUUUUGCUGCAAUGUGUGCCCCAUCCAAACACUAAUCCAUGGCAUAUACCUCAAGCCACCUUGCUCAAAAUCAAUAACCACGCGCAACGACAUCAAGUACUCAAAGUGCAUUACCAUAACCAUGGAGAAGCAAAUGACAUAACACCACAUGAAACCCGAAAGAGCAUAACCAAUAUGCUAUACAUCAAGCGAUAUCCAAUACUCUUCUCGCUCAAAUCCGUUAUAGGACUCCAAUAGAACCACACUAUAUGUGUAUACAACCAACAAAUCAUGACCCCUCAUAAUAUAGAAGAGUAGCUCAUAGAUCACUCCAGAACACGAAUAAGCUCAACAAUAAUCGAAUGGCACAUCCCUCAAUAAUAGCAAUUCAAAGUCAACAAAUCUGACCCGGUACAGAACACACCUCCAUGUUGGGCCUACCAAUGAACCCCAAAUCUACUCUGGUCCCCCACGAUAGAUAAAUAACCCUCUGAAAGUCUAAAUGACUGAAUCACAACAUAUACUAACCUCUGACUAAACUUGGAUACUUUUUACGGUCGACAACCACGAAACAAUCUACUCACCAGAACUCUCAAUCUCUAAAUCCAUAGAAUAUACGAAUCACCAUCUCUGAUCUCAACUCCACCGCCUAAAUGCCCAUACUUCUCCAAUUACACAGUCACCCCACGAGGAAUACUUCUAGAAGUCUUCUAUACCACAAAGCAAAAAUUGAACUCCAGCAGUCGAUCAAACAAGAGAGUGUCGCAAUACCAAUAAAGUAUCCAUAACUCCCACACAUCGCCCUUUCUGAAAUGUAUAAUCUCAUUAAGCCAUACCAGUUAGUAAUAUCAUUUACCUAGUCAUCAGAAAUUGUCCAUGUUGCUUAAGAAUUUAUGACCUUCCUUUCAGAAUUGAACUGUGACCUUACACAUGCAAAUCCCAACCUUACACAACUUACCACAUAUACCAUGUCAUCCCAUGAUAAAUAUGAGAACUUCAUAAUCCACUUCGAGUCACAAGCAACUAAGUACUCAACUAGCCAAGAACUUUUCAUUUGACCCCAUCUAGGAGAAGAUCACUACACAUCACAUGAUCCUCACGCCAGUAGAAGAUAUACCUCUCUAACCAUGGUAGAAACCACCAAGAACUCUCUGAAUCCCAUUUGCUCAAAACCCAACCGUCAGGAUUGAAUCCUUCUACCCCAACCAAGCUACACAUGUCACCAAAACUCAAGCGCAUCACCACGAAACACAUGUAGAAACUCAUUACCUCAUAAACACCCAAAGAACUAAUCAUACCCAUUACCAUGUCAAUCCAACCUACUACCAAGCUAUCCUAUUUAUUCGAGUUCCUUCUGAAUUGCAUUCACAUUGAUACUUCUCCUCACCAUAAUACCUCAAUCCUCAAUCCAGACUCACCACAUGAGACCCUAACAUAAACCACACUGCCCUAAGGCUCAUAAGCCGCUGAAUGCUCUCUUAAGCACCCCAAAAGUACCACAAUCGAGAUACUCACUCCAAAGAGACCUUCUAUGAAUUUCAAGUUGUUCAUCUUACUUUCUUGAUACUGAAAUGUAUAAUCCACAAUGAUGUAGAAACACUGCGAGCCUCGACACUAUCCAAUGUAACUCUUAGCUUCAAGCCACAUACGAACCCCCAAAAAUUCUCAAUUGCCAUAUAUAAAUAUUGAAUUCAUUAGAACCAUUCUCGAGAGUUAUCCACUCUGCUUAAAUCUUGAUUAGACAGAUCAAAUGGGCUAAUCGACCUUAGCCCCAUUAGCACUCCAACACCCAAGGAUGUAACCCCACCUAAAUGCAACCAGAUAAAUUUCUGCUCCACGAACAUUAUAUCCUUAACCAAUAAGAACUCAAAUCAUUCCAUGAUUCUCAUAUACUCAUAUAAUCUAAUAAAACUCAUACCCAGAAAUUUCCUUUACUCGAGUCAUCCUUGAUCUCAACCUCUGCAAGUCAUAACUGAUUCACCAGUAUACCUCAAACUGAAACUAAUAUGACACUUAGUCGUGCAAUCAACUUAUCAAUAGUAGACUCCCCCCUUGGAUAAAAGCCAUAGAUCAAAACACACAAAAACUCACAAUGUCCAUACUCUAUUACUUCCAUAAUACCAUAGUGAGAUUGAACUAAAUCCUUCAUAAGCUUGUUCAACACAACCAUCUAGUACUUCAAUCAUCUACAAAUCUCGCAUUUACCCUCGUAAUAGUCAAGACAACUCUCAUACGCGAUCCAAACUCAAUCUGCAGCAUAUAUAAUUCACUGGUAAAGGAAGACUCGCUACAAAAGAGCAUAGGGAUCACACGCCCUCAGGACACCCUACAGGAGAUAACCCACCUACUUUGCCUCAAACUAACAUCUCUUUAUACCUUUCCACCAUCAUAAACAUCACGCAAUCACUUAAUAUUCCUGAGUCUGAACUCAUAUCAUGACAUAAAAUCUACUUCGUUCCCCAACUAAACAAUAUGAAAAGAUCCUUCAACACACCCAUAACUCGGGGCUAUUCAUCAAAUCAAGAUGGAAAUCAAGAACCAAAUAGUUCUUUCUACCCUCAAGAAGACCCUCCUCAUCACAUCCAAAUCAUAUGAACAUAUCUCGCAGUCACAUCAUACUCAUCACGUAGCCAUCCAGUCAUUACUUCCACUAAUAUGGACACUACCGAACAUAUAAAUCCAAAAGCACGCUCUCACACAAUCAACACCUUAGUGCUCAAGCUAGAGGCAAAGCCCGGACCCAAGUCAUCCAGACUGGCCCAACAUCAACACACAAAAAUCACAUCUCGCCUCUCAUUUAGGGAAUCACAAGCCGUCGAUGCACAGCUGAUACCAAGUGCUCAUGCGCGCAUAUGAAUGCGUGGAAGGAAUUUCAAGAGUUACAUUUCAAGAUGAAUCAAUGCCGCACGACAAGAAUUUCAAGAAUGUGGGAUUUCCUAAAGGUUUUGCAGCCUCUCAAAGAUAGGUACAGACGUCUUUGUACCAAUCCGUGAGACUCUACUAAACCUUUCAUGACUCGUGAGACCUAUGUAACCUAGGCUCUGAUACUAACUUGUCACGAACUAAAACUAACCCUAUCGUGAUGGCGCCUAAAGUGGUACUAGGCAAGCCGAUACACUACCAAACCCAAUCACUAUUUUUAUUUUUAAGACAAAACCAAAGUUAUUUAACAAUAAACCAGCAUAAGGAGCUUAAAUCAAAACAACAGUGCGGAAAAAAAGCCCGACAUCAGGGUAUCACUAGUCAUGAGCAUUUACUACAACCGUCUGACAACAUCAAGACUAACAUAGCCUAAAAAUAACUGAAUACAACUAAGGGAGGAUAAAGAGGGAGAAAAGUAGGGCUGGGAUUGUCAGGCAGCUACCUUACUAACUCUGAUGGACCGUCCAUUGAUUAAUCAACACCCGCUAUCGGGUUUAGAAAUACCCGGAUCUACACACAAUGUGCCGGGAGUAAUGUGAGUACAUCAACUCACUAAGUAAUAAAAGUAAAUAGAGACUGAGCAGUAAAACCAUUUAAAACAUCUUUCAACAGUCUUCAAUGAAGUGAUGAAACAGUGAGUAAAAAUGGUGAAAACAUAUACAGCCCCUUAGGCAAAACUCACUCGUAUAUAGCCCCUCGGCAAACAUCACUCGUGAACAUCCCCUCGGGCAAACAUGAAUCAUAAACAGCCUCUCGGGCAAACCUCACAAUCACUCAUAUACAGACCCUCGGGCAUUACUUCAUAUCACUCGUAAACAGCCCCUCGGGCACAAUAUGAAUCAAGAACAGCCCCUGGGGCAAAACAUCGUAUCACUCACUCAGGGUACCCAUGCUCACUAGGGCUGUACAGACUCCGGAGGGGCUCCUACAACCCAAGCACUAUAACAAGUGACCUCGUGGAAUAAAUCAAUCAGGCCCUCCUUUUUAUCACUCGAGGGGUAUAUAAGAGAGUUUUUCCAAUUAAAGUGACAUAAAUCGAAAUGGAAUUAUUUUAUUUAUUUAUCAGAGUCUCCACUUAGAAUAAUUUAUUUGGUGUCCCAAGUCACCGGUUUAUUUUAAAUCCUAAGUCGAGGAGAAUUUGGACUUUAUUUAAAAUCUGCAAAACCAGAAAUUCUAGAUAAGGAAUUCUGUUAACAUGGAGAAAGUGUUAGGCAUUUUCGAGUUUCAUAGUUCGAGCACGGUCGCUUAACUAUUAAUAAUUGGCAUAUUAUCUAAUUUAUUACAUGUUUUAAACCUAGUGUGCAUUUUUAAAUUUAUUUAUUUAAAUCGCUUUUUAGGAUAUAUGGAAUUUAUUUUUUUGAACAAGUUACGAUUAUCGUACACUUGUCAUUUUGGAACAUACCGCAAAACACGCCACAUGAAAUGCACCCGUGAUUCGCGAUAUGUUUAUUUUAUUAUUGUUCAAAGUUGUUAUGAUCGGGUCACAUGAAGUGCACACCUGAAUUUGGGUUAGGUAUCAUGACUAUGCCACGGGAAUCGUACCCACAGUCACGAUGAUUUAUUAAUCGCGCCUAAAGCAAGCUACGAUGUAUUUAUUUGGUCCUAAAUUGAAUAUGUAGUUUAUUUGGUCCUCGAGUUGUCUUAUAUUUUAGAAUUUAUUAGUAGUUGGAUAAGGAACUCAUUUAGCCUUUGACUUUUUAACCUGAAGCUAUCUUUGGCUUUUCUGCAUUGUGUUCCACCAAAUGGUUGAUUGAAGUCAAGCGCAAGAGCCAAAUGUAUUUGCAUUUUCAAAUAAUAUCAAAACACAUCCAAGGAAAGGAAGUAAGGAAUAAAAAGGGAAACUAUGCCAUGUUCAUUAUAAAGGGUUAUGUGUACAGAUUUACCAACCCUAAGUAUCUCACAGAAUGAAGCUAAAGGCAAAAAAAACACAGUAUCUUAUAAUCGAGGGAAAUCGCAGAAAAACAAAGCGAACACUUGACGAGCUGUGAAAGUAUAUCAUACACAUAUGUCAUCAAACACAGGAAUAAAAAGCAAAUCCAUCUAAUUAGCUUUCAUCAAACACAGAAAUAACCAAAACAUGCAGCAAAUUUAAAAUAAAAAGUAGCAGACCGGUACUUGGGCAGAACGAACAAAAUAGCUUAUCAUAGCUAAAGCACAUGUCAUAGGUAUAAAUUAUAUAUACUGUUUUUCAACAAACAAACAACCACAUUAAGACCACAUCCUUAGGAAUUGAUUAAGUGCUACUGAUUACUAACAACAUGAGGACAUUGAACAGGGUGAUUUCAAACCAUUAUAUGCCUAUUUGUAUUAAUUUGUUACCGUUUGAAAUAAGAUCUCAAAACACAAACAAAUCGUAUAGCAUUAUUAGGAAAGGAUAAUUGCAUAGAUACAACAAUAAUCAGAAAUUCAUUGAAGACAAAAGGAAUUCAUUCAUUUUUUGACUUAACGGUGGCGUAAAUCACAACAAAGUACCUGCGUGUGUAGAUAUCACCUCCAAAACUCCAACUAAAGGCUAGAUGAGAAAUGAGCUUAGCACAGCGGAAAACCAAUAGAUCCGAACAAGGAGCAACAGCAAAUUUUCAACCAUAGUAGCAUUUUAAAACCCAGAAAAAUAGAAACAAACAGUAGCGGUUUGUUCCAGCCUUGGAGCUCGUCAGCGAGGGAAGCUCAGGCACAAGAGGGAUUUAUAGGAGGAGAAAUUGAAGUGUUGAUGGCUGUUUUUGGGACUUUUUGGUAUAGGAAUUUCAGUUGGGUUUUCAGAGCUUUUACAUGGGUUUGGGGCUGAUUUGAGCUCGAGUAUUAGAGCUGAAAAUGGUGGUGUUCGUGGUGUUCUAAGAGAGGUCCAUGGCUGAAAUUUUGGGCUAAUCCCAUCCCCCUUUCGUUUUUCUUUUCCCGGAUCCCCUCUCUCACUGUAUCGUCCUACCUUCCUCUCUAUCUAUGUGUGUCUUUUUUCAAUUGAAAGAAAGAAGCCAUCUCAAAUCAGAAGGGGAAAGAGGCUGAGGUACUACCGCUAGAAGCUAAUCUCAGAGGAAAGGAUUUGUUGUCUUUGCUCUCUGUUAGAAGUGAGGAAGAAGAAGAUGGGUGAGCUAUUUUGGAAGAUGAUGAGGGAAUGCAGAAGAAGGGGAAAAGCUGCGCUGUUUUGGGUGUUAGGGAUCUCCUCAAAUAAGGUCUAUUAAUGUGUGUUAGGUCUGGGGAUUUAAGGGUAAAAAUGGGGAACGGGAA